rnacentral:ncRNA from 1 species
UCGAGCCGUAUGAAGGGAAACUCCCACGUACAGUUUGUUUUGGGGGGGAAGGAGCCCGACAGGGUCCCCCCCCCCCCACUGACUUGGCCCGGGCCUAAGUGAAAGUGAAAAAGUGAAGUGGUGGGCCUACCCAUCCCAAC